rnacentral:rRNA from 1 species
GACGAACGCUGGCGGCGUGCUUAACACAUGCAAGUCGAACGCUGAAGCCCCAGCUUGCUGGGGUGGAUGAGUGGCGAACGGGUGAGUAACACGUGAGUAACCUGCCCAUCACUCUGGGAUAAGCGCUGGAAACGGCGUCUAAUACUGGAUACGAGCAGCGACCGCAUGGUCAGUUGCUGGAAAGACUGGUUCGGUGAUGGAUGGACUCGCGGCCUGUCAGCUUGUUGGUGAGGUAAUGGCUCACCAAGGCGACGACGGGUAGCCGGCCUGAGAGGGUGACCGGCCACACUGGGACUGAGACACGGCCCAGACUCCUACGGGAGGCAGCAGUGGGGAAUAUUGCACAAUGGGCGCAAGCCUGAUGCAGCAACGCCGCGUGAGGGAUGACGGCCUUCGGGUUGUAAACCUCUUUUAGUAGGGAAGAAGCCUUCGGGUGACGGUACCGUAAGAAUAAGCACCGGCUAACUACGUGCCAGCCGCCGCAGUAA